AUUGAACGCUGGUGGCAGGCCUAACACAUGCAAGUCGAGCGGGGUUUUCGGACCUAGCGGCGGACGGGUGAGUAAUGCGUAGGAAGCUACCCGAUAGAGGGGGAUACCAGUUGGAAACGACUGUUAAUACCGCAUAAUGUCUACGGACCAAAGUGUGGGACCUUCGGGCCACAUGCUAUCGGAUGCGCCUACGUGGGAUUAGCUAGUUGGUGAGGUAAUGGCGCACCAAGGCGACGAUCCCUAGCUGGUUUGAGAGGGUGAUCAGCCACACUGGAACUGAGACACGGUGCAGACUCCUACGGGAGGCAGCAGUGGGGAAUAUUGGACAAUGGGCGCAAGCCUGAUCCAGCCAUGCCGCGUGUGUGAAGAAGGCCUUCGGGUUGUAAAGCACUUUCAGUAGGGAGGAAGCGUUGUGUGUUAAUAGUACACAGCGUUGACGUUACCUACAGAAGAAGCACCGGCUAACUCUGUGCCAGCCGCCGCGGUAAUAC
rnacentral:rRNA from 1 species